GAGAGAGAGGAUAAUUCUGGAACAUAAGAUCCUGUUGGAAAGAAGAUUUAGGGAAUAGUUGCUGGGAUGCAGCCACUGAACACCCCCUCUGCUUCCGGUGGCUGCCUCUCCUAGCGCACUGUACCAUCCUUGAGAGAGACAGAAUUAUAAUCAUCUCUGUAUCUCCCAGCAGGACACCUGGCACAUUUCAAGCAUCCACAAAGGAUCAAUGUACAAAAAAUCUAACUGGUCAGACCAACCCAAGCAGAAAUCAAGUCAAGAACCUCUCUUCAGGAUCAACAUGCUCUCAGAAGAGCCUGGGUGGACAGCCAAGGUGGCUUACCGGACAGACACACUGACCUUCACUGGGGAGUGAGGUGGCAGGGUGUACGUGACUCCUUACCUUUUGAUGAGAGGGUCCGGCAAUCCUCAGAGGCACCGCCGUGGUGCUGUAGUAUUUUCCCAGUCUUGAAAGGCCCAGAGCAGACAUCUCGACUCUGGUAUUCAGGGUGUGCCGUGUGGCUUGCCAUCCAACUGGAACAGGAUUUCUGUCAGCACCACCAGUCAGUAGGGUUACCUAACUUUCUCCUCACUCCAGCCAGCCAUGUACUGACAUCACAAAGCUCAUGCCUCAGCCUCACGUGGCUCACAUACUGCCCCUGGUUAGUGGGCUAGCCCAAUGCUAAUGGUCCAUACCUCAUGGUUAGUGGGCUAGCCCAAUGCUAAUGGUCCAUACCUCAUCAGUGAUGAUGAAUUUCCAGCCCUAAAGAGUAAAAAACUUAGAAAAAUCCAACCGUUCCUUGAUCUAAAGAUAAACAUAAGCCAGUGUGCCUGAGUAUUUCUGAACUACAACCAACCCUAACUCUUACCUUCCCUUCGGUUACUUUGAGCAUUAAACUCAGGCUCCUUGGAUUGGCAAGGGCCUGGAUACAGGCUCCACUCUGUGCUCUCUGAGCAGCUGUAUCUGCUGGGAAGGAGGGUGCCCUUUUCUCAAAGGGUCAUUUCCCGUUUGACAAGCCAGACUGUCUCAGCCUAGAAUGGGCGCCUCCUCUAAUUGGCACCAGAGUCCAGUAUUCUCUUCUUGUCUGGUCCCUAGGAUGGAUCCAGAAGCUUUGGCAUGGUUCUUGCCCCAACAGGAAAUACACCGGAGACUUUCUUACUGCCAGCGAGGCUCCCAAGAUGCUUGUCCACACCGGUCCUGAGGGACACCCGAUUCCCACGUGGCCCAUCUUCCCAGCUUAUCUGCAUCUUCUUGGUUGUGGUCUGUCUGUUGCACAUCCUCUAACCCCAUGACCAUUCUGCUCUGUGUAGGCCAGAGCUGCUCGGCCUACCCUCUGCCUGCCCUUUGGCUCCAUGCCUGAUGGUUUCCUGGAUCACGUUUGCCCUGACCUUCCAUUUGCUUGUGCCUAGGCUUCUGACCGAUGCCCACAGCAUCCCUGAGUGCUGCUGCUUCCAGCAUCCCUCAAGACUCCAAGGUUCAGAACUGACUGCUUUUGAUCUGGACCUAAAGGAAGGGGUCUGUCUAGCCAUCCUAGACCAAUGCUUCCUGACCCAGUGGGCACACACCCCCUAUUCCUCUUCAUAGAAAGACUCUGGACCCUCCCCCAUUCCACUACUCAGUUCCUACCUAAUCUGCUUAGUGACCAUCACUUUGUCCCACUGUUGUCUUCCAGCCAGUGCAUUGAUUUAGAUGACAGGUCACCAUUUUUGGCUUUGUUUUCAGCAAACAGAAGGUCAUAGACUCUGGAAAAAAAACACAAAACAAACAAACAAACAAAAAACACCUUUCAUAGUUUGACCCAGCUCCUAAGUUGCCCCUAACAGUAUUUUCCUCUAUUACCCUUCCCUCCCAUACACAUUCCCUCCUUUGGGGUUGAGUUCUACAGAUUAUGUGGCUUCCGGGACUACAACACGACGAAGCGAAAGCACAGUCUAGGAGUCACCGAGGAAAGGCCAUAUGAAGGCAUAGCAAGGAAUUAGCCAUCCACGAACCAAAUGCAAAGCUUCCAUAGAUACCCUUUCUGCCAACCUUGACCUGGGGCUUCGCAACCUCAGGAACUGUGAGAAAUAAAUUGUCUUUGAUGGCAUUUUAUGAUGGCAGCCGAGCUGACUGAGACACUGAAGGAGAGCCAGAGGGGCCAUAACAGGAGGAAACUCAGGCUGGUGUCUCCCUCUUGAAACUGUAUCAUGACUUCUCUGAUCAAUGGAGGGGCUCAUGCCAAUUCCAGGCCUUAUUUUGGCCUGGAAGUUCUGAAUCAUGAGAACAUUGUAGAGAGACCACGAAUGGAAGCAGCAGAUGCUGAGUCAGCUCCACAGUUGUCCUUCCAACCUACCAGAUACGGGGUGCAGCCAUCUUGAAUAUUCAAGACAGGAUCAACCACCCAUUGAGUACUAAUGGGCAAUCCCAGCCAAUCGUAUGAAGUAGAAGAAUCACAUAACAGAGCCUUGCCAGAAUUCCCG